rnacentral:lncRNA from 1 species
UAAGCCAUAGGACCGGAAACCGACCAAAAUCGAAAGCCAACCGAAUUUAGCUAUAAACUCACUUAGAGUGGAUUCAUGUAGGAAUCACUCUAUAAGAAGCCGAGCAACCAAAUAUGUGCGUCUAAGAUGAUUUCUAAAAGCUAAAUAGGAUUUAAGCUUCAAAAUCGCAACGCAAUGGAAAGAAAAGAAAAAUGCAACAUCACCACACACAUACAAUUCAUUUAUAAAUCAAAGCUUAAAAAAAUCGAAAUAAAAAAAUUGGCAACACAACCACAAACUAUUUACAAAAUUUAACGAAAUUAUCUACAACAUGAUCUGAACAUGGAUAUAGAUUACUUAAUUAAAAUGACUAAACAUAUAAAAAAAUCAAAUAUCUACUAAAAAACAGUUAAAUAAUUAACCAACUAAUUAAACAAAAAAAUCAAUUAAAUAAAUAAUUAAUAAUUAGAAAUUAUCACUAAAAAAACUAAAUAAAACUAGGGAGUACAUACAUAUAUUGAGGUUCUAUUGAAUAUGAGCAAAAUGGGCCUAAAGCCCAAAACCAAACCCUAAUGACAAAUGAAAACAAACGAAAAAUAACAACAUAAAUAAAUAAAUAAUAAAAUCAAAAAAUUCUCGUGAGAGAGGUGGCAGCACCCAUGUGGUAAUACAUCAUCUUGUCUAAAAAUUAGAAUUAUCCACUAAACAACUUACACUUGGCAUGGCCUUUUUUAAAAAAAUAAAACAAAGAAAAUGAGUGAUACUGUAUGACAACCUUUCUUGAUUCACUCUCUUGCAUCAUUUUUUUAAAAAUAAAAAAAAACACUCACCUAUACAUCAACAUGUGGCAUAAAGAUAAUGAUAAAUAAAAGAAGACCUCCAACUUUUUCCUAACUUAGGCACUUUAAAUUGUAACAGAAACAAACAUUUUUUUUUAACUCAAGCUCUCUCUCAUGUACUCUUAAAGCUCCACUUUUCUUUCAUCCAAAUUCAUAUAUUUUUUAUAAUAUAAAACAAAACUACAAUGAAAACAUUAAUUCUAUUAAUAAAAACCAAAAACAACAAUAACAAAAUAAAUAAUAAUAAUAAUAAUAAUAAUAAUAAUAAUAAUAAUAAUAAUAAUAAUAAUAUAUAAUAAUAGUAAUAAUAAUAAUAAAUAUAUAAUGAAUAAAAGAAAAUGAUUAUGGAGAGAGUUUUUUACAUGGUGGUUGAAGGUUGUUGUGGUGAGAAAGGUUAAUGGUAAGUGUGAUGUAUGGUUGUUGUGGAGUGUGGUGUAUGGUGUGAAGGAGAAGAAGUUUAGUGAGUGAAAUGAUGAUUAUGUGGAGAAAAAGUGAGUCAUGUUUUGUGUAUGGAGAGAAGGAUAUAUUGUUGAUGGAAAUGUGAGAGAUAUGAAGUGGUAGAUAAAAGAGAGGGUUUUGUGUGUAGUAGCAGUAGAGAUAUAGAAUGAAAUGUGGUUUGUGUAGAAAAAGAUGAAGGUGUUAGUGUAUGAGGAAUAAUGAAAGGGAUUUGGAGAUGGAUGUAAGUUUGUAGCUAUAAAGAGAUUUGGAGAUGGAUUUGUAGAUAUGAAGAGAGCUUCAAAUGAAGAAGAUGGUUGUUCAGUGAAAAAAUAGGAGAACCUCAACGUGUAACAUUUUUUUCAAUUUUAUAUUUUUUUUUUUGCUGAAACUUUGAAAUGAGAGUCAAAAGGUAUAGGGAGUAGAGGCGCCGCUUCUUGGUGAGCAAUUGGUCUAGGUUCCUCUCCAAUGCCAAGUGUAGCUAUAUAUAUGGUGACUAGUAGGGUUUUUCUAAUUUUUAAAAUGCCAACAAUGCCCUUU